AAAGAAACUAACUAGGAUUCCCUUAGUAACGGCGAGUGAACCGGGAUGAGCUCAAAUUUAAAAUCUGGCGUCUUUCAGGCGUCCGAGUUGUAAUCUAUAGAGGCGUUUUCCGCGCCGGACCGCGUCCAAGUCUCUUGGAAUAGAGUAUCAAAGAGGGUGACAAUCCCGUACUUGACGCGACAACCGGUGCUCUGUGAUACGUUCUCAAUGAGUCGAGUUGUUUGGGAAUGCAGCUCUAAAUGGGUGGUAAAUUCCAUCUAAGGCUAAAUAUUGGCGAGAGACCGAUAGCGAACAAGUACCGUGAGGGAAAGAUGAAAAGCACUUUGGAAAGAGAGUUAAACAGCACGUGAAAUUGUUAAAAGGGAAACGAUUGAAGUCAGUCGUGUGAAAGGUAUUCAGCCGUCUCUGGCGGUGUAUUUGCCUUUCACGGGUCAACAUCAGUUUGAUCCGGUAGAAAAAGGCGGGAGGAAGGUGGCACCCUCGGGUGUGUUAUAGCCUCCUGUCAUAUGUGCCGGACCAGACUGAGG
rnacentral:rRNA from 1 species